UGGGGAAUAUUGGACAAUGGGCGAAAGCCUGAUCCAGCCAUGCCGCGUGUGUGAAGAAGGUCUUCGGAUUGUAAAGCACUUUAAGUUGGGAGGAAGGGCAGUAAGCGAAUACCUUGCUGUUUUUACGUUACCGACAGAAUAAGCACCGCCUAACUCCGUGCCAGCAGCCGCUGUAAUACAGAGGGUGCAAGCGUUAAUCGGAAUUACUGGGCGUAAAGCGUGCGUAGGCGGCUAAUUGAGUCGGAUGUGAAAUCCCCGAGCUUAACUUGGGAAUAGCAUUCGAUACUGGUUAGCUAGAGUGUGGGAGAGGAUGGUAGAAUUCCAGGUGUGGCGGUGAAAUGCGUAGAGAUCUGAAGGAAUACCGAUGGAGAAGGCAGCCAUCUGGCCUAAAACUGACGCUGAGGUACGAAAGCAAGGGGAGCAAACAGG
rnacentral:rRNA from 1 species